UACGAAGGGGACUAGCGUUGUUCGGAAUUACUGGGCGUAAAGCGCACGUAGGCGGAUUUGUUAGUCAGGGGUGAAAUCCCGGGGCUCAACCUCGGAACUGCCUUUGAUACUGCAAGUCUCGAGUCCGAUAGAGGUGGGUGGAAUUCCUAGUGUAGAGGUGAAAUUCGUAGAUAUUAGGAAGAACACCGGUGGCGAAGGCGGCCCACUGGAUCGGUACUGACGCUG
rnacentral:rRNA from 1 species